CUCCUUCGGGAGCGAAGCAAUUGGAAGUGGUUCCAAGAAAAGCCUCUAAGCUUCAGUCUAACGAUGACCGUACCGCAAACCGACACAGGUGGGCGAGAUGAGUAUUCUAAGGCGCUUGAGAGAACUCGGGAGAAGGAACUCGGCAAAUUGGUACCGUAACUUCGGGAUAAGGUACGCCCUUGUAGCUUGACUGGCCUGCGCCAGGAGGGUGAAGGGGUUGCAAUAAACUGGUGGCUGCGACUGUUUAAUAAAAACACAGCACUCUGCAAACACGAAAGUGGACGUAUAGGGUGUGACGCCUGCCCGGUGCCGGAAGAUUAAAUGAUGGGGUGCAAGCUCUUGAUUGAAGUCCCGGUAAACGGCGGCCGUAACUAUAACGGUCCUAAGGUAGCGAAAUUCCUUGUCGGGUAAGUUCCGACCUGCACGAAUGGCGUAACGAUGGCCACACUGUCUCCUCCCGAGACUCAGCGAAGUUGAAGUGUUUGUGAUGAUGCAAUCUACCCGCGGCUAGACGGAAAGACCCCAUGAACCUUUACUGUAGCUUUGCAUUGGACUUUGAACCGAUCUGUGUAGGAUAGGUGGGAGGCUAUGAAACCGGAACGCUAGUUUCGGUGGAGCCGUCCUUGAAAUACCACCCUGGUUUGUUUGAGGUUCUAACCUUGGCCCGUGAUCCGGGUCGGGGACAGUGCAUGGUAGGCAGUUUGACUGGGGCGGUCUCCUCCCAAAGCGUAACGGAGGAGUACGAAGGUACGCUAGGUACGGUCGGAAAUCGUGCUGAUAGUGCAAUGGCAUAAGCGUGCUUAACUGCGAGACCGACAAGUCGAGCAGGUGCGAAAGCAGGUCAUAGUGAUCCGGUGGUUCUGUAUGGAAGGGCCAUCGCUCAACGGAUAAAAGGUACUCUGGGGAUAACAGGCUGAUACCGCCCAAGAGUUCAUAUCGACGGCGGUGUUUGGCACCUCGAUGUCGGCUCAUCUCAUCCUGGGGCUGUAGCCGGUCCCAAGGGUAUGGCUGUUCGCCAUUUAAAGAGGUACGUGAGCUGGGUUUAAAACGUCGUGAGACAGUUUGGUCCCUAUCUGCCGUGGGCGUUGGAUAUUUGAAGGGGGCUGCUCCUAGUACGAGAGGACCGGAGUGGACGAACCUCUGGUGUACCGGUUGUCACGCCAGUGGCAUCGCCGGGUAGCUAUGUUCGGAAGAGAUAACCGCUGAAAGCAUCUAAGCGGGAAACUCGCCUUAAGAUGAGAUAUCCCUGGGGACUAGAUCCCCUUGAAGGGUCGUUCGAGACCAGGACGUUGAUAGGUCAGGUGUGUAAGCGCAGUAAUGCGUUCAGCUAACUGAUACUAAUUGCCCGUAAGGCUUGAUCCU
rnacentral:rRNA from 1 species